rnacentral:rRNA from 1 species
UACGGGGGGAGCAAGCGUUGUUCGGAUUUACUGGGCGUAAAGGGCGCGUAGGCGGCCACCGCAAGUCGGUUGUGAAAUCUCCGGGCUUAACCCGGAAAGGUCAAUCGAUACUGCGGGGCUAGAGUGCAGAAGGGGCAACUGGAAUUCUCGGUGUAGCGGUGAAAUGCGUAGAUAUCGAGAGGAACACCUGCGGCGAAGGCGGGUUGCUGGGCUGAUACUGACGCUGAUGCGCGAAAGCCAGGGGAGCAAACGGG